AGUGAACGCUGGCGGUAGGCCUAACACAUGCAAGUCGAACGGCAGCACAGUAAGAGCUUGCUCUUACGGGUGGCGAGUGGCGGACGGGUGAGGAAUACAUCGGAAUCUACUUUUUCGUGGGGGAUAACGUAGGGAAACUUACGCUAAUACCGCAUACGACCUACGGGUGAAAGCAGGGGAUCUUCGGACCUUGCGCGAUUGAAUGAGCCGAUGUCGGAUUAGCUAGUUGGCGGGGUAAAGGCCCACCAAGGCGACGAUCCGUAGCUGGUCUGAGAGGAUGAUCAGCCACCCUGCACCUGAGACACGGUCCUGACUCCUACGGGAGGCAGCAGUCGGGAAUGUUGGACAAUGAGCGCAAACCUGACCCAGCCAUACCGCGUGGGUGAAGAAGGCCUUCGGGUUGUAAAGCCCUUUUGUUGGGAAAGAAAAGCAGCAGGUUAAUACCCCGCUGUUCUGACGGUACCCAAAGAAUAAGCACCGGCUAACUUCGUG
rnacentral:rRNA from 1 species